GUGUUUAAUAGAGUUUGGGAGGGAGGGAAGUUGCCACAAAGCUGGAAGGAGGCAGUGAUAAUAUCGAUACGUAAACCAGGGAAGGACAAAGCCUGGAAACUACAGACCAGCAGCUUUAACAUCCAACGUCUGCAAAAUAAUGGAGAGAAUGAUGACAGGGCAAAAAAGGACUCCAAAUUAAAAAAAAGAUAAAAAUGAAAGACUGGUGCAUUGUGCAGUUUAGCACUGGUGGUACAGAAAUAGUCCCUAGAUCAUGGAUAAAUGGGGAGAAAUUGUCAUGGCCUCCAUAUCCUCCGUGAGACACAUUCAGGAUCCACGACGCAGUAAAGAGGAGAGUUCAUCCUGGUGCAACAUGGCUCACCUAUGCACCAGUCCGACUUCUAAUAAGCCAUGGUGGGUAUCAUCUGGAUUGGUGUUGUAUAAAUGUAACAAUAACAAGUUUUUCGUGUCCUAAUUUAUGUCUGGCCAUACAUUGUGUUUGUACUUCCAGACACAUUUCACGAAGCAGAACGCAGUCUUCAGAAAUAUCUAAUUGAACACUGUGAUACGUCUGACCUUCAGUCCGAAGCUGAAACUCAGACCAGUCAUAAAAGAAAGCACAAACCAAAUCCCCUGUACACAUAUAGUGACUCAGAGGAUGAGCAGCCCACAAAAAAAUGGUUUCCCCAGGCCCCUCGAGUGAAAGUACCAGACCUGACGAGAGCUGUUAACGAACUCCGUGAGGAGGUCAGAGCCAUCCGCAAUACCGGCUGCAAUGAAUCGGUAGAUGCUGGGGUACUGCCUCUGGAUUUGCCCUUGCACAACAUUGAGGAGCUAAACAAUGCAGAGCCAGCUCUUCAAUCACAAGAGGCAAAUAAGGCAAUGGUCUCCACUUCAUCAGACAUCACCUAGACUCAGAGCUGGAUGAGGCCAGCACAGACAGCGGCCUAACCGACGAAGAUGAUGGAUCCAUGGUGUCAGGAAAGCCAGAAGCAGGGGAGCUGGAGAGGUACCUUUCAUGUCCAUUCACUGGAGGUGUGGAUCUAUUGCAUGGCGUUCCUCACAUCAAGAAGCUGUUGAUCAAAGUCAAUACAGCUCUUCAUGCAUCAGGAGCUUGUGAAGGACUUCUCAGUCAUGCUGGACUCCUGUUCACUGCUGCUGAAGCUUAACCAUCACCUCACUGAGUGAAGAAAGGGCACAUUUUUGCUAAAUAUGCAGAAAUAGAUGCACACUUAUACAAUUUAUGGUAAACUGAGCUGCCUUGUAUGUACAUAUGAUGAAGAUGCCUCGUUCUGUUUUCUCUGAGGCUGCUGUGCCAUUUGGAGCAAAGAUGAAUAUAAAGUUUACAGCAUAUCU